AGUGAGAGAAAGGAAGGGAGAGGAGGGAAAAAAACAAGAGGAUUCGAGCUUUUUAAAAAUAUAUUACUCUUCGGUCUCUUCUUUCUUUGUAUAUCAACUCUUGCUUUCUUUUUCUUUUUUUCCUUUUCCUUUUUU
rnacentral:ribozyme from 13 species